AAAAAAAACACAAUUUAGCAAAAUGACAGAAAGAAUGGUAUUGACAAAUAAAAAUGGAUCAGUGAAAAUUGGUAACUUUUUUGACAUUAUUAAUAGUAAAACAUCAUUAUAUGAAUUUUUAAAAUAAUUUAUUAUAAAAAACAAAUACGUUUAAUUUAUCAGGUGUUAUGCAAAAUGGUAGUAAUAACGAAUCCCUCGCAAAUAUAUUAGAAAAAACUGUUAUAACGAAAAAUGUUAAUGAUACUGAUGCUAAUACAGAUGGUAUAUCAGGACUAACUUUUUUUUAUAUUUUUUAACGGUAAUUAUUGUUGUGUGUAUUAUUUUAAUUCUUUUACACUUGAUGGAGCAAUAUUUACGUCAAGGGCGAAAUCAUGGAAAUGCUAUGCAAGCUAGAUUUCAUAGACAUAAUGGACAAAAUGGAGGUGGUGGGGGAAAUGCUCCACAACUUACAGAUAAUUUUUUCGAUCGUCAUAGAGGAUAAUAAAAUGGACAUUUCUACGAAUACUAUUUAUGUAUGCACAACUUUGUAAAAAAAAAAAAAAAAA